AUCAUGGCUCAGGAUGAACGCUAGCGGCAGGCUUAAUACAUGCAAGUCGAGGGGCAGCAUGGUGUAGCAAUACACUGAUGGCGACCGGCAAACGGGUGCGGAACACGUACAGAACCUUCCUUCGAGCGGGGAAUAGCCCAGAGAAAUUUGGAUUAAUACCCCAUAGUAUAGCGGAGAGGCAUCUCUCUGUUAUUAAAGAUUUAUCACUUGAAGAUGGCUGUGCGGCUGAUUAGGUAGUUGGCGGGGUAACGGCCCACCAAGCCCUGCGAUCAGUAACUGGUGUGAGAGCACGACCAGUCACACGGGCACUGAGACACGGGCCCGACUCCUACGGGAGGCAGCAGUAAGGAAUAUUGGUCAAUGGACGAAAGUCUGAACCAGCCAUGCCGCGUGGAGGAUGAAGGUCCUCUGGAUUGUAAACUUCUUUUAUAUGGGACGAAAAAGGUCUUUCUAGAUCGUCUGACGGUACCAUAUGAAUAAGCACCGGCUAACUCCGUG
rnacentral:rRNA from 1 species